AGAGAGAGACAUGCGCGCAUAUCAAUAAGCGGAGGAAAAGAAACUAACAAGGAUUCCCUUAGUAACGGCGAGUGAAGCGGGAAGAGCUCAAAUUUGAAAUCUUCAAGGUUUUACCUUGACGAAUUGUAGUUUAAAGAAGUGUUUUCUGCUGAAGUUUUGGUAAAAGUUCUUUGGAAUAGGACAUCAUAGAGGGUGAGAAUCCCGUAUUUGACCAUUAUUUUCAGCUUUGUGAUACACUUUCAAAGAGUCGGAUUGUUUGGGAAUGCAGUCCAAAAUGGGUGGUAAAUUUCAUCUAAAGCUAAAUAUUGGCGAGAGACCGAUAGCGAACAAGUACCGUGAGGGAAAGAUGAAAAGAACUUUGAAAAGAGAGUUAAACAGUACGUGAGAUUGUCAAAAGGGAAGCGUUUGACACCAGUGUUGUUUUCUCGAAAAUCAAUUAAAAAUGGCAGCGAUUUUGUAUUGCUUGUAUGACCUUUACUCAGCUGUACUCUUUUCUUGUCUUUUUUAAUGCACUUUUCGUUUAACAAGUCAACAUCAGUUUCUUUUGUUGUAAAAGGGUCAUUGGAAGGUGGCUUUCUUUUCGGAGAAAGUGUUUAUAGCCUUUGGCCUCUGCAAUCGGAGAGACUGAGGUCUGCAGCGUAGACUCUUCGGGGUUAGAUACAUUUGUGCUAAGUUAUAGCUUUUUAUAGACAACUUGUUGACUAUAAUUAGUCUUGUAGCUUACUCGCUUAUGCUAUUUUACCUACGCUUAGGAUGUUGAGUCGUAGAGCACGCAG
rnacentral:rRNA from 1 species